AUUGAACGCUGGCGGCAUGCCUUACACAUGCAAGUCGAACGGCAGCGGACCUUCGGGUGCCGGCGAGUGGCGAACGGGUGAGUAAUGCAUCGGAACGUGCCAUUGAGUGGGGGAUAACGUAGCGAAAGUUACGCUAAUACCGCAUAUUCUGUGAGCAGGAAAGCAGGGGACCGCAAGGCCUUGCGCUCUUUGAGCGGCCGAUGUCAGAUUAGCUAGUUGGUGAGGUAAAGGCUUACCAAGGCGACGAUCUGUAGCGGGUCUGAGAGGAUGAUCCGCCACACUGGAACUGAGACACGGUCCAGACUCCUACGGGAGGCAGCAGUGGGGAAUUUUGGACAAUGGGCGCAAGCCUGAUCCAGCCAUGCCGCGUGGGUGAAGAAGGCCUUCGGUUGUAAGACCUCGUC
rnacentral:rRNA from 1 species